UGAACAUCCAGGUCACUUCCUGUUCACCUGACAGGGAGCACCCAGGUCACUUCCUGUUCCUGACAGUGAACACCUAAGCUACUUCCUGUUCACCUGUUAAUGAACAUUCAGGCCACUUCCUGCUCACCUGACAAUGAACAUCCAGGCCGCUUCCUGUUCACCUGACGGGAAACACCGAGGUCACUUCCUGAUUUAGGUUGUUACGGAUGCACCUGCCAUGAGCUUUGAUGUUAAGUCUUUUUAUGGGCACUUACCUUCUGGCAUCUGGAUAUUACGAUUGAUGUUAGAACCUGAAGUGUUUUCCAUCGACAUCCCUAAAUGUCUUCUUCUAGUAACCGUGCAAGUCCAUCAUUGCGCAUGUCACAGGAUUGUUCUACGUUUGGUUUUGCAGGGAAGUUGUAAGCAAUCCUGCAGCUGAUCUCAAAUCUAGCCCUAAAAUGGGGAAGCUGGUCCCUGAAGUAUUUAUCAGAGCCCUGGAGGGUAAAGAGGCUCCAUUUCUAAAGAGGAGAUUAUUUGUAUUUGUCAGGCUGGCCCCAGAGAAUAGUGGAAUUGUUACCUGCAGAAACUGCUCCAAUGAAAGAGAAUAGAGAAUUGCUGCGGCUCAGGAUGAAUCAAAACAAGAAUGAAGGCAGAGAGGAGCUUUAGAAAAAGAGCCAAUGGUUUGGGAAUUUGAGAACAAUGGUAAAUACUGGAAGCUGCAGCUCUGGAGAAAGGGAAACCUUCACCUAUAAAUCAACAAACACAUCUUAGGAAGUCAAGAUGGAAGAGUCCCUUUUUUUUUUAAACAUGGAUGAGAAUGCUUCAGAUCUCUGCCAGCAACUUUCAAGGACACGAUACAAUAUUGGUAACCAGUGUCACCACACUGCCCCUCGCAUCCCCAGAAGUCAGUCCCCUAGUUGGAAGUGUGUGCCCUUGGACCAGCGUCUCCCGGGUGUGCUCCCCCGUGUAAAUAAACCCACUUAGCAAAAAGA